rnacentral:rRNA from 1 species
UACGUAGGGGGCAAGCGUUGUCCGGAUUUAUUGGGCGUAAAGAGCGUGUAGGCGGCCAGGUAGGUCUGCUGUGAAAACUCGAGGCUUAACCUCGAGCUGUCGGCGGAAACCAUCUGGCUAGAGUCCGGAAGAGGAGAAUGGAAUUCCCGGUGUAGCGGUGAAAUGCGCAGAUAUCGAGGAAGACACCUAUGGCGAAGGCAGCUC